rnacentral:rRNA from 1 species
AUUGAACGCUGGCGGCAUGCUUUACACAUGCCAGUCGAACGGUAACGGGCCUUCGGGUGCUGACGAGUGGCGAACGGGUGAGUAAUGCAUCGGAACGUGCCCAGAGGUGGGGGAUAACGCAGCGAAAGCUGUGCUAAUACCGCAUGUGAUCUGAGGAUGAAAGCGGGGGACCAAGCAGCAAUGUUUGGCCUCGCGCCUCUGGAGCGGCCGAUGUCAGAUUAGGUAGUUGGUGGGGUAAAGGCCUACCAAGCCGACGAUCUGUAGCUGGUCUGAGAGGACGACCAGCCACACUGGGACUGAGACACGGCCCAGACUCCUACGGGAGGCAGCAGUGGGGAAUUUUGGACAAUGGGCGCAAGCCUGAUCCAGCAAUGCCGCGUGCGGGAAGAAGGCCUUCGGGUUGUAAACCGCUUUUGUACGGAACGAAAAGGCUCUGGCUAAUACCUGGGGCUGAUGACGGUACCGUAAGAAUAAGCACCGGCUAACUACGUG